rnacentral:rRNA from 1 species
CCGGCACGGGUGAGUAACGCGUAUGCAACUUGCCUAUCAGAGGGGAUAACCCGGCGAAAGUCGGACUAAUACCGCAUGAAGCAGGGAUCCCGCAUGGGAAUAUUUGCUAAAGAUUCAUCGCUGAUAGAUAGGCAUGCGUUCCAUUAGGCAGUUGGCGGGGUAACGGCCCACCAAACCGACGAUGGAUAGGGGUUCUGAGAGGAAGGUCCCCCACAUUGGUACUGAGACACGGACCAA